rnacentral:rRNA from 1 species
UACGUAGGUGGCAAGCGUUGUCCGGAUUUAUUGGGUUUAAAGGGUGCGUAGGUGGCCCUGUAAGUCAGUGGUGAAAUCUCCGAGCUUAACUCGGAAACUGCCAUUGAUACUAUAGGUCUUGAAUUAUCUGGAGGUGAGCGGAAUAUGUCAUGUAGCGGUGAAAUGCUUAGAUAUGACAUAGAACACCAAUUGCGAAGGCAGCUCACUACGGAUUGAUUGACACUGAGGCACGAAAGCGUGGGGAUCAAACAGG